rnacentral:rRNA from 1 species
CCGUGAGGGAAGGCGAAAAGAACCCCGGAGAGGGGAGUGAAAUAGAACCUGAAACCGUAUGCGUACAAGCAGUGGGAGCACCUUCGUGGUGUGACUGCGUACCUUUUGUAUAAUGGGUCAGCGACUUAUUGUCUGUAGCAAGCUUAACCGUUUAGGGGAGGCGUAGGGAAACCGAGUCUUAAUAGGGCGCAUAGUUGCAGGCAAUAGACCCGAAACCGGGCGAUCUAUCCAUGGCCAGGUUGAAGGUGCCGUAACAGGCACUGGAGGACCGAACCCACUAACGUUGAAAAGUUAGGGGAUGAGCUGUGGAUCGGAGUGAAAGGCUAAUCAAGCUCGGAGAUAGCUGGUUCUCCUCGAAAUCUAUUUAGGUAGAGCGUCGUGUCUUACCCUGGGGGGUAGAGCACUGUUUGGGCUAGGGGGUCAUCCCGACUUACCAAACCCAUGCAAACUCCGAAUACCCAGGAGUACAAUCACGGCAGACAGACGGCGGGUGCUAACGUCCGUCGUCAAGAGGGAAACAACCCAGACCGCCAGCUAAGGUCCCAAAUACCAAUUAAGUGGGAAACGAUGUGGGAAGGCUUAGACAGCUAGGAGGUUGGCUUAGAAGCAGCCAUCCUUUAAAGAAAGCGUAAUAGCUCACUAGUCGAGUCGGCCUGCGCGGAAGAUGUAACGGGGCUAAAUUGGUAACCGAAGCUGCGGAUGCAUGCUUGCAUGCAUGGUAGAGGAGCGUUCUGUAAGCCGUUGAAGGUGAACCGAGAGGUUUGCUGGAGGUAUCAGAAGUGCGAAUGCUGACAUGAGUAACGACAAAGGGGGUGAAAAACCCCCUCGCCGGAAGAUCAAGGUUUCCUACGCAACGCUAAUCGGCGUAGGGUGAGUCGGCCCCUAAGGCGAGGGAGAAAUCCGUAGUCGAUGGGAAACAGGUUAAUAUUCCUGUACUUCUUCUUACUGCGAUGGAGGGACGGAGAAGGCUAGGCCAGCGCGGCGAUGGUUGUCCGCGUUUAAGGUAGUAGGCUGGAAUCUUAGGCAAAUCCGGGAUUCUAAGGCCGAGAACUGAUGACGAGUCCUCUUUUGGACGAAGUGGUUGAUGCCAUGCUUCCAGGAAAAGCUUCUAAGCUUCAGGUAAGAAGGAACCGUACUGUAAACCGACACAGGUGAUCAGGUAGAGAAUACCAAGGCGCUUGAGAGAACUCGGGUGAAGGAACUAGGCAAAAUGGUACCGUAACUUCGGGAGAAGGUACGCCGGUUUUGGUGAUGGGACUUGCUCCCUAAGCUGAGGCUGGCCGAAGUGACCAGGUGGCUGCGACUGUUUAUUAAAAACAUAGCACUCUGCAAACACGUAAGUGGACGUAUAGGGUGUGACGCCUGCCCGGUGCCGGAAGGUUAAUUGAUGGGGUUAUCUUCGGAGAAGCUCUUGAUCGAAGCCCCGGUAAACGGCGGCCGUAACUAUAACGGUCCUAAGGUAGCGAAAUUCCUUGUCGGGUAAGUUCCGACCUGCACGAAUGGCGUAACGAUGGCCACGCUGUCUCCACCCGAGACUCAGUGAAAUUGAAAUCGCUGUUAAGAUGCAGUGUACCCGCGGCUAGACGGAAAGACCCCGUGAACCUUUACUAUAGCUUCACACUGGACUUUGACUUUAUUUGUGUAGGAUAGCUGGGAGGCUUUGA